UACUAGGAGAAUUGAAAGAUGUGUCCAGGAAAAUGAAACCUAUGUCUAAUGUUUGUGGAGGCGCACAAGGAAACAACAGGAACAACAGUUCUUUUAGGCUUCAAAUCAAAGAAUAUUUAUAAACAUUUUGUGAAGAGUAGUAUAUAUCUAGUCAUUUCUGCUCUGCUCCCUUUGAGUCUGUUCCUUCUCGACCAGUACAGACCUUUGAGGAGUGAGCUAAGUGUUUCUGAAUUUCCUGGGCGGAUGCAUCACUAUGACAUGCUGAAUCUGGUUUAAUCAGUUUUAUUGUAUUUAAGCUAUUCUAAAUGCAGCUUGAGAACCCCUUGUCUGAGAAUUCACCUUUUUGAAGCAUCAUCUGACAUCUCUGUUCUCAGCUAUGGACUGAAUCUCGAAUCUGAGCAGCAAGGGAAAUCCACUGGCAGCCUCCAAGCACAGAGGCCUGCCUCCCCAUCUAGGGAGGAAUGCAGGCCAUUUUGGCCGUAACAGAGUUACUGAAACCAGUAAUGUAAAAAUACCUUAUCAGACACCUUGUAAGCUAUGAUGACCAGUGAGUCUAAUAAGGGAUUGCACAGAGCCUGAUGUCAGAAAAGUGGUGAUCACUUGAAACAGCAGGGAAAGCUCUAGAGAAAGCAUCCCCAGAGCUAAGGUCCCAGGUGUGUGUGCAGGGGAAGGAGAGAUUGUAUGAACUUUUGGGCAUGGGGUUGCUAUUUAUGGUGUUUACAUAACAUCUAGGGCAAAUAGGCAACCAGCUUGGGGUGUUACAAUGCUGGGCAUAAUUACAAAAGGCAAAAUGAGGGCUCCUGUUUCAUUUGGAAGGGUUGGAGUAACUGACUGAUCUUUUUGGGUACUUUUUUAUCUCCUCUAAAGUUACUCUGUGAGGUGACUGAAGUCCCAGGUGGCAGUAUUCAUUGACUGCGGCUCAGAGGGGCACAGACUGGAGGGAAUGUCAAUGGCAAUAAAUGUCUUAUGUCAUUCCGAGAAGCUGUGAGAUGGGAUUGUUCAGGCUCUGCUGGACAAACCUUUGUGAUUAUUCAGGAACACUGAAGCUGAUAAGGAACCAUGUUGCUUAACAGUAAGAAGCAAGUAAAUCUUAUAUUCCAAAUGAAAGGGCACAAUCUGGUCAAUAUGAAUGAUAAUAAUUGGAUGAACUGUCAGGAUGCUAGGUUUGUGCACCACCCAGUCAUAACUGAAGUCAAUGGAAAAGCACGCUGAAGCCUAAGGUAUGUGACAGAAUAACAUUCUGAUUUUAGACAGAUAUUCUCUUCUAAUAAGAAUAUGCUUUAGCCCUAUUACUGAAGCUUCUUUCUCCUGAACUCCAUAAAAACGCAGUUGUAUGAGCUGCUGUACCCACUGUUACAUGGUUGGCAUUAGACCUGUCAGGAUUAGACCUAAAAAUGCCUGCAAAUCAGAUGAGGAAUUCUAACUGAAAUGGAAAAAUACUAUUUUUUUUUCCUGAACUUUCUCAUACCAACAACUGAAGCUGUUUCUUCAGCUCUUAGUGGGUGACUGGCUUGUUUCAAGAGUGAAGAAGAUAUUGUAGGAAUGCUGUGUGACCACAGUGUGCAUCGCUGGGCUUGCUGCUUCUGGAGCAACGACUGACUCAGAGGAUUCUGCUCUCUGUGCAGAUUCUGUUAUCUCCCAGCACAUGUUCUCAAGCAUUGAGCUGUUAUGUCAGUGACACUGAGUGAAUAUGUUCUAGGGAUAAUAACAGAUAGGAAAAGAAUCUUCGAUCCAAGGAAACGCAAUUGGUAUUUGAAAAAAAAAUCACACCAACUUACUCAUUUUCAGUUAAACUCAUCAGGAAAAGAAAUUUAUUUUGCUCUGGAAAAGAAUCCCUCCCAGCCCUCUCUUGCUAAGGUUUUGUGUGCAGGAACAUGGCGUGUUCUAGAGGAGGUGACUGAUUCUUUUAGACCACUUUGACAAGAGCAGUAAAUUUCAGUUUCCAAACCUGCUCAGAUGUGGAAGCUCUGAGCCACAGAAAAGGCUUACACAAUUCAAGGAUCCAGGCUGUCUGCUGGAAGAACUGCCAGGAAUGAUAAAAAUGAUAAUAAAUUUACUUUUACUGCUCCUUUCUGUUGUAAUAAAUUUGUCCUGUAUCUUUACACAAAAACGCACACAGACCCUCUUUAUAAAACUCUGGGGAGAAAUUUGUGCACAAAAGUAACA